GGCGGACGGGUGAGUAACGCGUGGGUAACCUGCCUCAUACAGGGGGAUAACAGUUAGAAAUGGCUGCUAAUACCGCAUAAGACCACAGUACUGCAUGGUACAGGGGUAAAAACUCCGGUGGUAUGAGAUGGACCCGCGUCUGAUUAGGUAGUUGGUGAGGUAACGGCCCACCAAGCCGACGAUCAGUAGCCGACCUGAGAGGGUGACCGGCCACAUUGGGACUGAGACACGGCCCAGACUCCUACGGGAGGCAGCAGUGGGGAAUAUUGCACAAUGGGGGAAACCCUGAUGCAGCGACGCCGCGUGGAGGAAGAAGGUCUUCGGAUUGUAAACUCCUGUUGUUGAGGAAGAUAAUGACGGUACUCAACAAGGAAGUGACGGCUAACUACGUGCCAGCAGCCGCGGUAAAACGUAGGUCACAAGCGUUGUCCGGAAUUACUGGGUGUAAAGGGAGCGCAGGCGGGAAGACAAGUUGGAAGUGAAAUCCAUGGGCUCAACCCAUGAACUGCUUUCAAAACUGUUUUUCUUGAGUAGUGCAGAGGUAGGCGGAAUUCCCGGUGUAGCGGUGGAAUGCGUAGAUAUCGGGAGGAACACCAGUGGCGAAGGCGGCCUACUGGGCACCAACUGACGCUGAGGCUCGAAAGUGUGGGUAGCAAACAGGAUUAGAUACCCUGGUAGUCCACACCGUANACGAUGAUUACUNGGUGUUGGAGGAUUGACCCCUUCAGUGCCGCAGUUAACACAAUAAGUAAU
rnacentral:rRNA from 1 species